AUUGAACGCUGGCGGCAGGCCUAACACAUGCAAGUCGAGCGGCAGCGGGAAGUAGCUUGCUACUUUGCCGGCGAGCGGCGGACGGGUGAGUAAUGUCUGGGAAACUGCCUGAUGGAGGGGGAUAACUACUGGAAACGGUAGCUAAUACCGCAUAAUGUCGCAAGACCAAAGAGGGGGGCCUUCGGGCCUCUUGCCAUCAGAUGUGCCCAGAUGGGAUUAGCUAGCAGGUGGGGUAACGGCUCACCUAGGCGACGAUCCCUAGCUGGUCUGAGAGGAUGACCAGCCACACUGGAACUGAGACACGGUCCAGACUCCUACGGGAGGCAGCAGUGGGGAAUAUUGCACAAUGGGCGCAAGCCUGAUGCAGCCAUGCCGCGUGUAUGAAGAAGGCCUUCGGGUUGUAAAGUACUUUCAGCGGGGAGGAAGGUGUUGAGGUUAAUAACCUCAGCAAUUGACGUUACCCGCAGAAGAAGCACCGGCUAACUCCGUGCCAGCCGCCGCCGUAACAC
rnacentral:rRNA from 1 species